GACGUAGGGCGCGAGCGUUGUCCGGAUUUAUUGGGCGUAAAGAGCUCGUAGGCGGCUUGUCGCGUCGACUGUGAAAUCCCGCGGCUCAACCGCGGGUCUGCAGUCGAUACGGGCAGGCUAGAGUUCGGUAGGGGAGACUGGAAUUCCUGGUGUAGCGGUGAAAUGCGCAGAUAUCAGGAGGAACACCGAUGGCGAAGGCAGGUCUCUGGGCCAUUACUGACACUGAGAAGCGAAAGCAUGGGGAGCGAACAGG
rnacentral:rRNA from 1 species